rnacentral:rRNA from 1 species
CUACGUGCCAGCAGCCGCGGUAAUACGUAUGUCACGAGCGUUAUCCGGAUUUAUUGGGCGUAAAGCGCGUCUAGGUGGUUAUGUAAGUCUGAUGUGAAAAUGCAGGGCUCAACUCUGUAUUGCGUUGGAAACUGCAUGACUAGAGUACUGGAGAGGUAAGCGGAACUACAAGUGUAGAGGUGAAAUUCGUAGAUAUUUGUAGGAAUGCCGAUGGGGAAGCCAGCUUACUGGACAGAUACUGACGCUAAAGCGCGAAAGCGUGGGUAGCAAACAGGAUUAGAUACCCUGGUAGUCCACGCCGUAAACGAUGUCAAUUAGCUGUUGGGCAACUUGAUUGCUUAGUAGCGUAGCUAACGCGUGAAAUUGACCGCCUGGGGAGUACGGUCGCAAGAUUAAAACUCAAAGGAAUUGACGGGGACCCGCACAAGCGGUGGAUGAUGUGGAUUAAUUCGAUGCAACGCGAAGAACCUUACCUGGUCUUGACAUCCACGGAACUUUUCAGAGA